AGCAGGCUGAGAGAAGGAACCAAUGCUUUUAGACUCAAAACUUUAAUCAGAGAACCAACAAAUAUGCACACACGGAGGGCGUUUCUACCUUGGCCUGCAGCAACACAGGUGACUGAUUUACAGACUGUCCCCACACCCAAUGGCUGCCAGUUUUCCAGAGUCCCUAUUGUGUCACAGCCCUGCAACACUUUGUACACUCUUUUGGUAUACAACAUGCCCAUCUCCCCGACAAGACAGAGCUCCAGAGGAUGGGAACCAUGUGCGAGAAGUUAAAUGUUGCAGCCAUUUGAAAAACAGUGUAAGGCCCCAAUGGUUAGCCAACAGGUUCGCAGUUUCAACUAAGUUUAACAAACUUAACCAGCAGAACUCCAGGUGCAAAAGUUGAAAAGCCCAAGGGUGCAGAGCACUCACUCCCUCACCAUUUUCAGCACCUAAAAUAUGAAAGGUAUUCAAAGUAUGUGUCCAGUGAUUUCAUAAGACUACUGUGUUUCAGCAAAGGUGUGACUGAGCCACUUAGUGGUAGGGAAUAAACACCCAGAGCUGACAAGACACUGGUAGGGAACUGGUUGUGUGGUUCCAUCUCACUGGACUCUCCAACAAUCCUUGGUGAUCCCAGAACUUCCUGUGACAUGAGGGAAUGUGGCAUUUUCAAGAUGUCACUUGUCAACUAACAGCAAUCGUCGAUGAAAAUGGGUUCAUUUCUGAUUCCAGAAGCUUCAGAGCAGUAGUGCAUAGCGUAUGGAUACUACCUGCCCCCGAGCCUAGCAAAUUGCCUGGUGAGCGGCCAUCCUGGAUAAAUGGUGAAUGAUGACAUCCCAGUGGUCACUUCCACACACCACAGAUAUCCAGCUCACUCUCCUCACCACACUUGUGCUCAUGUUGUU
rnacentral:lncRNA from 1 species